rnacentral:sRNA from 1 species
GCUGAGUGUGGUGGUGCACACCUGUAAUCCCAGCUACCAGGGAGGCUGAGGCAGGAGAAUUGCUUGAACCCAGGAGGUGGAGGUUGCAGUGAGCCAAGAUUGUGCCACUGCACUCCAGCCUGGGCUACAGAGUAAGACUCUGUCUCAA